GACGAACGCUGGCGGCGUGCCUAAUACAUGCAAGUCGAGCGAAUGGAUUAAGAGCUUGCUCUUAUGAAGUUAGCGGCGGACGGGUGAGUAACACGUGGGUAACCUGCCCAUAAGACUGGGAUAACUCCGGGAAACCGGGGCUACUACCGGAUAACAUUUUGAACCGCAUGGUUCGAAAUUGAAAGGCGGCUACGGCUGUCACUUAUGGAUGGACCCGCGUCGCAUUAGCUAGUUGGUGAGGUAACGGCUCACCAAGGCAACGAUGCGUAGCCGACCUGAGAGGGUGAUCGGCCACACUGGGACUGAGACACGGCCCAGACUCCUACGGGAGGCAGCAGUAGGGAAUCUUCCGCAAUGGACGAAAGUCUGACGGAGCAACGCCGCGUGAGUGAUGAAGGCUUUCGGGUCGUAAAACUCUGUUGUUAGGGAAGAACAAGUGCUAGUUGAAUAAGCUGGCACCUUGACGGUACCUAACCAGAAAGCCACGGCUAACUACGUGCCAGCCGCCGCUGUAA
rnacentral:rRNA from 1 species